AACGAACGCUGGCGGCAUGCCUAACACAUGCAAGUCGAACGAGACCUUCGGGUCUAGUGGCGCACGGGUGCGUAACGCGUGGGAACCUGCCCUUAGGUUCGGAAUAACUCCCCGAAAGGGGUGCUAAUACCGGAUAAUGUCUUAGGACCAAAGAUUUAUCGCCUUUGGAUGGGCCCGCGUUGGAUUAGCUAGUUGGUAGGGUAAAAGCCUACCAAGGCGACGAUCCAUAGCUGGUCUGAGAGGAUGAUCAGCCACACUGGGACUGAGACACGGCCCAGACUCCUACGGGAGGCAGCAGUGGGGAAUAUUGGACAAUGGGCGAAAGCCUGAUCCAGCAAUGCCGCGUGAGUGAUGAAGGCCUUAGGGUUGUAAAGCUCUUUUACCCGGGAUGAUAAUGACAGUACCGGGAGAAUAAGCGCCGGCUAACUCCGUG
rnacentral:rRNA from 1 species